rnacentral:rRNA from 1 species
AUUGAACGCUGGCGGCAUGCCUUACACAUGCAAGUCGAACGGCAGCACGGGUGCUUGCACCUGGUGGCGAGUGGCGAACGGGUGAGUAAUACAUCGGAACGUACCUUAUCGUGGGGGAUAACGCAGCGAAAGCUGUGCUAAUACCGCAUACGCCCUGAGGGGGAAAGCGGGGGAUGGCAAGACCUCGCGCGAUUAGAGCGGCCGAUGCCUGAUUAGCUUGUUGGUGGGGUAAAAGCCCCCCAAGGCGACGAUCAGUAGCUGGUCUGAGAGGACGAUCAGCCACACUGGGACUGAGACACGGCCCAGACUCCUACGGGAGGCAGCAGUGGGGAAUUUUGGACAAUGGGGGCAACCCUGAUCCAGCAAUGCCGCGUGAGUGAAGAAGGCCUUCGGGUUGUAAAGCUCUUUUGUCAGGGAAGAAACACCGGCUCUAACACAGUCCGGGAAUGACGGUACCUGAAGAAUAAGCACCGGCUAACUACGUGCCAGCAGCCGCCGUAA